CUACUGCCGGAGAAACCCGACACACACACAUCCCGACCACCGUGGAGCAAAGACUCUAUCCACAAGGCGGAGAGGUAAAGAGCGGAGCCGCGAGCAUGGCUGUCGAAGAGGAAGGGCUACGGGUUUUCCAAAGCGUCAAAAUAAAAAUAGGUGAGGCGAAGAACAUCCCUCCGUACCCAGGUCCCAACAGGAUGAGAGACUGUUACUGUACUGUCAACCUGGAUCAGGAGGAGGUCUUCAGAACCAAGAUCAUCGAGAAGUCUCUGUGCCCUUUCUAUGGAGAGGACUUUU